rnacentral:rRNA from 1 species
GACGAACGCUGGCGGCGUGCUUAACACAUGCAAGUCGAGCGGUAAGGCCCUUUCGGGGGUACACGAGCGGCGAACGGGUGAGUAACACGUGGGUGACCUGCCCUCAGCUCUGGGAUAAGCCUGGGAAACCGGGUCUAAUACUGGAUAUGACUCCAUGACGCAUGUUGUGGGGUGGAAAGCCUUGUGCGGCUGAGGAUGGGCCCGCGGCCUAUCAGCUUGUUGGUGGGGUGANGGCCUACCAAGGCGACGACGGGUAGCCGGCCUGAGAGGGCGACCGGCACACUGGGACUGAGACACGGCCCAGACUCCUACGGGAGGCAGCAGGUGGGGAAUCUUGCGCAAUGGGCGAAAGCCUGACGCAGCGACGCCGCGUGAGGAUGA